GCUGCAGUGGCGGGGAGUGGGGUGCGGAUCUUGUGUUUGCGCACGCAGUCGCCGGCCACCUCAGGCCGGAGCUAGAGAUACGGCUCGGGAUAGGAGGGCCCGGCGGCUCUGAGGCAGGUUCGCCUCGAGCCGCACGGCCCGGAGCAGCGGCUCCGCGGUGGUCCCCGGGGCUUGAGAGGGGUGCGGGCCUGGGAGCCCCUGAGGGCCUGAUUUACGGAACUCCCCCUCCUUCCUCCUUUCUGCCGUUCCCUGCUCUGUGGCGGAUGCGCAGGGAUCAGUAGGGACGGCAGCAGUAGGGCCACUCGGGCCUGCCCCGCUUCCCGCAUUGCCCGGUUUGGCGCGCCGCCUCCGGGCCUUGGCAAAGCCCCAGCGCCCGAUUGUCACUGACCAGUGCUUGGAAGUCCUUUACCGACUGCCCGUCAGCGUCCCGCGGAGAGGAUUUUGCGUCUCCAAAGACGCCCCUCUUCCGAAAACAGGCUCCUCUGUGUUCUCAGUCGGGUAUAUUUUUCUGUCUCCAAACUAGAUUGGCAGCCGUUUUUUGAGAGCAGACAGGGUCUUGCUCUGUUGCCCAGACUGGAGUGCAGUGGCGCCAUCUCAGCUGACUGCAGAUUCAACCUUCUGAGCUCACGAAAUCCUCCCAUCUCAACCUCCUGAGUAGCUGGGACCACAGGAUGGCACCUGACUUGAAGAUAGCACCUGACUUGAAGAUGGCACCUGACUAGCAUUUGGACUGGUUUGCAGGCUGAGCACAGGGUUGCUCCAGGUGGGCCCAAAUGCUGAAGAGCCUCAUGUUAGAGUUUUUCACCUCUGCGAUGGAACUGUGGUGGACUCCAGUAUCAUCAUUCCAGGGAGGCAUAGCCGCACCAACUGUGUUCCCAGGUUUCACAUGGAGAAGGGUUUUAGAAAGUGCAGAUAGCCUUGAAACCAUUGGUUUCCUACCACUGUUUAUUUCAGCAUAACUUUUUUUGUGUGGAAUGCUAGCUCUGGAAGAGCAGAAAUAAAUACAGCUUAAGCUUUGAACCAU
rnacentral:lncRNA from 1 species